rnacentral:lncRNA from 1 species
UUACGGUGGAGGAGGCAGCGUCUAUUACGGCGGCGGCUGCGUCGUCAUUUACGGAGUCGGCGAUGGCAGCAGUUACGACGGUGGCCGUGGCAGUGAUUACGUUGGCAGCUGGGGCUACGGUAGUUACUACUUAGGGAACAAGGAGGUUGACGGGAGCAGCAAGAGACCGUACAUGCGGGUGUUAGGGCUCGUUCUUGUCUCAAUCAUCACAGCGUUCUGGGUCACGGUUCUCAUCACGUUCAUAAUUUCACGAUGAAUGAAGCUGGUUGAUUCAUUUGUUUUGGUCCCAACUGUGAGGCAAAUUUCGAAUAAAUGAAUCGCUAGAAGGAAACAGUGAUGGAAGUCAGGGCGACUAAUUAAGGAGCUAGGCUAAUAAUAAAAUAAUUUGCAUAAGAAUAUAAACGAGGAGAAUAAACUCGUUACACAGAUACAAAUUUUAUUAUUUUGAUAGUAUUUAAUUUAAUAAUGACCAUUAAUCCCAGGCGUGUCUAUAUAUAUAAGUUUCAAAAAAUAGGAGGGACUAUGCCCCUGCUGGUUUUGCGGUUAAAUAACGGGAAGCCCCAUAUAUGAUUUAUAGCCAUAUUCAAGUUAAUAACAACUAGUUGUAUGUGUUUAUUUAUUAAAAUUUAUAUUAAGCCCACAUUAUAUUAAAUUUGUCGGAUUAAAAUAUGCAAGUUAAAAUAAAUUGAUCUUAAAAGUGCUUUGUUAACUUUUGUAGGGGAAAGUUUAGCUCUCUCGACUGAGCCCGCAAAACACUAUGUAUUACUGCUCGAAUUUAUACUCAUUAUAUAGUAUUUUAUAUAAAUGGUGUUUUACGCUGCUCGAAAA